AUCAUCCUGAACAUAGGGAAAUACAGCACUGAAGAAACACGGUUCUAUGAUUUGCAAUUGAUCACAAGUUAUUAGGGAAGAUAGACAAGAAAACUAACAAGUUUGAAACAGCCACUCCACUGACAGCAAAAGAAGAAACAGAUUUAAUUUGAAUUUUGUAUAAUUCAAGACUGAUGACCCAACAGAAUAUUCAGGGCAUGCCUUCCUUUCAACAUGAAUAUCGUACAAGAAUAUUUACCGAAGCACACACAUGACGGCAAAAACAAAGCAAAUCACAACAAAGCCCUACAAAAUUGGAAACGAAAUUAGCGCCCAUCAAUCAAUAAUGUCUGAAUCUACUUUGGUGUAUCACCACUGCUGAAUACAAGACAAAUAAGAAAGCGUACCGUAACAAAUAGAACCAAG